AGUAAAGUGGCAGACGGGUGAGUAACACGUGAACAACCUACCUUCGAGUGGGGAAUAACCCCGCGAAAGCGGGGCUAAUACCUCAUGACAUCUUUGGGUCGCAUGAUCCGAAGAUCAAAGGCUCCGGUCGCUCGAAGAGGGGUUCGCGCCUGAUUAGCUAGUUGGUGAGGUAACAGCCCACCAAGGCAACGAUCAGCAGCCGGCCUGAGAGGGCGUACGGCCACACUGGAACUGAGACACGGUCCAGACUCCUACGGGAGGCAGCAGUGGGGAAUUUUGCGCAAUGGGCGAAAGCCUGACGCAGCAACGCCGCGUGGAGGAUGAAGGCCUUCGGGUCGUAAACUCCUGUCAGUAGGGACGAAUGCCUCGAAAGAGGUUUGACUGUACCUGCUGAGGAAGCCACGGCUAACUCCGUGCCAGCAGCCGCGGUAAUACGGAGGUGGCAAGCGUUGUUCGGAAUUAUUGGGCGUAAAGGGCGCGUAGGCGGCUUUGCAAGUCAGAUGUGAAAGCCCCGGGCUUAACUCGGGAAUUGCAUCUGAAACUGCUUUGCUUGAGUCCUGGAGGGGGUAGUGGAAUUCCCAGUGUAGCGGUGAAAUGCGUAGAUAUUGGGAGGAACACCGGCGGCGAAGGCGGCUACCUGGACAGUGACUGACGCUGAGGCGCGAAAGCUAGGGGAGCGAACGGGAUUAGAUACCCCGGUAGUCCUAGCCGUAACGAUGGGCA
rnacentral:rRNA from 1 species